rnacentral:rRNA from 1 species
UGGGGAAUUUUGGACAAUGGGGGAAACCCUGAUCCAGCCAUCCCGCGUGUGCGAUGAAGGCCUUCGGGUUGUAAAGCACUUUUGGCAGGAAAGAAACGUCAUGGGUUAAUACCCCGUGAAACUGACGGUACCUGCAGAAUAAGCACCGGCUAACUACGUGCCAGCAGCCGCGGUAAUACGUAGGGUGCAAGCGUUAAUCGGAAUUACUGGGCGUAAAGCGUGCGCAGGCGGUUCGGAAAGAAAGAUGUGAAAUCCCAGAGCUCAACUUUGGAACUGCAUUUUGAACUACCGGGCUAGAGUGUGUCAGAGGGAGGUGGAAUUCCGCGUGUAGCAGUGAAAUGCGUAGAUAUGCGGAGGAACACCGAUGGCGAAGGCGGCCUCCUGGGAUAACACUGACGCUCAUGCACGAAAGCGUGGGGAGCAAACAGG